rnacentral:rRNA from 1 species
CCUACGGGAGGCAGCAGUGGGGGAUAGUGCACAAUGGGGGAAACCCUGAUGCAGCAACGCCGCGUGGGGGAAGAAGGUGUUCGGAGUGUAAACCACGGUUCGUGGGGAAGAGAAUGACGGUAACCAAGGAGAAAGCUCCGGCUAACUACGGGCCAGCAGCCGCGGUAAUACGUAGGGAGCAAGCGUUGUCCGGAUUUACUGGGUGUAAAGGGUGCGGAGGCGGUCUGGCAAGUCAGACGUGACAACCACAGGCUCAACCUGUGGACGGCGUUUGAAACUGUGGGGCUGGAGUGAAGUAGAGGUCGGCGGAAUUCCCUGUGUAGCGGUGCACUGCUUCGUGCUCGGGAGGCACCCCAGUGGCGACGGCGGCCUACUGGGCUUUACCUGACGCUGCGGCACGACAGCCUGGGUAGCAAACCGGCUUCGAUCCCCCUGUAGUC